rnacentral:rRNA from 1 species
AUUGAACGCUGGCGGCAGGCCUAACACAUGCAAGUCGAACGAGUGGCGGACGGGUGAGUAACGUCUGGGAAACUGCCUGAUGGAGGGGGAUAACUACUGGAAACGGUAGCUAAUACCGCAUACCCUCAGAUGUGCCCAGCUUGGAUUAGCUAGUUGGUGGGGUAACGGCUCACCAAGGGGACGAUCCCUAGCUGGUCUGAGAGGAGGACGGGAAACAGUGGAACGGGGACACGGGCCAGAUCCCUAGGGGAGGCGGAAGGGGGGAAUAUUGCACAAUGGGCGCAAUCCUGAUGCAGCCAUGCGGCGUGUAGGAAGAGGGCCUUCGGGUGGUAAAGUACGUUCAGCGGGGAGGCGUUACCCGCAGAGGAAGCACCGGCUAACUCCGUGCCAGCAGCCGCGGUAAUUC